AGCAGCCGCGGUAAUUCCAGCUCCAAUAGCGUAUAUUAAAGUUGUUGCAGUUAAAAAGCUCGUAGUUGAAUUUCGGGAUUAGUAGUCUGGUCGUGCCACUGGUAUGUACUGGUCUUACUGAUUUCUCCUUCCUGAAGAACUGUGAUGUCAUUAAUUUGGUGUUGCGGGGAAUCUGGACUGUUACUUUGAAAAAAUUAGAGUGUUUAAAGCAGGCUAACGCUUGAAUACAUUAGCAUGGAAUAAUGAAAUAGGACGUUCGAUCCUAUUUUGUUGGUUUCUAGGAUUGACGUAAUGAUUAAUAGGGAUAAUUGGGGGCAUUAGUAUUCAAUUGUCAGAGGUGAAAUUCUUGGAUUUUAUUGAAGGCUAACUACUGCGAAAGCAUUUGCCAAGGAUGUUUUCAUUAAUCAAAGAACGAAAGUUAGGGGAUCGAAGACGAUCAGAUACCGUCGUAGUCUUAACCAUAAACUAUGCCGACUAGGGAUCGGAUGAUGUUAAUUUUAUAAUUGA
rnacentral:rRNA from 1 species